rnacentral:rRNA from 1 species
AGUGAACGCUGGCGGCAGGCCUAACACAUGCAAGUCGAACGGCAGCACGGCAGUAGCAAUACUGUGGGUGGCGAGUGGCGGACGGGUGAGGAAUACAUCGGGAUCUACCCUGUUGUGGGGGGAUAACGUAGGGAAACUUACGCUAAUACCGCAUAAGAACUGAGGUUGAAAGCGGCGGACCGCAAGGCGUCGCGCGAUUGGAUGAACCGAUGUCCGAUUAGCUAGUUGGCGGGGUAAAGGCCCACCAAGGCGACGAUCGGUAGCUGGUCUGAGAGGACGACCAGCCACACUGGAACUGAGACACGGUCCAGACUCCUACGGGAGGCAGCAGUGGGGAAUAUUGGACAAUGGGCGCAAGCCUGAUCCAGCCAUGCCGCGUGGGUGAAGAAGGCCUC